rnacentral:rRNA from 1 species
AACGAACGCUGGCGGCAUGCCUAACACAUGCAAGUCGAACGAGACCUUCGGGUCUAGUGGCGCACGGGUGCGUAACGCGUGGGAACCUGCCCUUAGGUUCGGAAUAACUCCCCGAAAGGGGUGCUAAUACCGGAUAAUGUCUUCGGACCAAAGAUUUAUCGCCUUUGGAUGGGCCCGCGUUGGAUUAGCUAGUUGGUAGGGUAAAAGCCUACCAAGGCGACGAUCCAUAGCUGGUCUGAGAGGAUGAUCAGCCACACUGGGACUGAGACACGGCCCAGACUUCUACGGGAGGCAGCAGUGGGGAAUAUUGGACAAGGGGCGAAAGCCUGAUCCAGCAAUGACGCGUGAGUGAUGAAGGCCUUAGGGUUGUAAAGCUCGUUUAACCGGGAUGAUAAUGACAGUACCGGGAGAAUAAGCUCCGGCUAACUCCGUG